UGCUGUGAGCUCGAUGAGUAGGGCGGGACACGUGGUAUCCUGUCUGAAUAUGGGGGGACCAUCCUCCAAGGCUAAAUACUCCUGACUGACCGAUAGUGAACCAGUACCGUGAGGGAAAGGCGAAAAGAACCCCGGCGAGGGGAGUGAAACAGAACCUGAAACCGUGUACGUACAAGCAGUGGGAGCCCCACCACUAAGCCAGUGGUGAACUCCACAUACGCAUCCUUUGCGGAAGAUACGGUUAACGGAGCGAAAGCGACGUUCAACCGCAAAAGAAGCAGAGGGGGCUUAGUGGUGGGGUGACUGCGUACCUUUUGUAUAAUGGGUCAGCGACUUAUAUUCUGUAGCAAGGUUAACCGAAUAGGGGAGCCGGAGGGAAACCGAGUCUUAACCGGGCGUUAAGUUGCAGGGUAUAGACCCGAAACCCGGUGAUCUAGCCAUGGGCAGGUUGAAGGUUGGGUAACACUAACUGGAGGACCGAACCGACUAAUGUUGAAAAAUUAGCGGAUGACCUGUGGCUGGGGGUGAAAGGCCAAUCAAACCGGGAGAUAGCUGGUUCUCCCCGAAAGCUAUUUAGGUAGCGCCUCGUGAAUUCAUCUCCGGGGGUAGAGCACUGUUUCGGCCAGGGGGCCAUCGCGGCUUACCAACCCGAUGCAAACUGCGAAUACCGGAGAAUGUUAUCACGGGAGACACACGGCGGGUGCUAACGUCCGUCGUGAAGAGGGAAACAACCCAGACCGCCAGCUAAGGUCCCAAAGUCAUGGUUAAGUGGGAAACGAUGUGGGAAGGCCCAGACAGCCAGGAUGUUGGCUUAGAAGCAGCCAUCAUUUAAAGAAAGCGUAAUAGCUCACUGGUCGAGUCGGCCUGCGCGGAAGAUGUAACGGGGCUAAACCAUGCACCGAAGCUGCGGCAGCGACACUGUGUGUUGUUGGGUAGGGGAGCGUUCUGUAAGCCUGCGAAGGUGUGCUGUGAGGCAUGCUGGAGGUAUCAGAAGUGCGAAUGCUGACAUAAGUAACGAUAAUGCGGGUGAAAAACCCGCACGCCGGAAGACCAAGGGUUCCUGUCCAACGUUAAUCGGGGCAGGGUGAGUCGACCCCUAAGGCGAGGCCGAAAGGCGUAGUCGAUGGGAAACGGGUUAAUAUUCCCGUACCUGGUGUUACUGCGAAGGGGGGACGGAGAAGGCUAUGUUGGCCGGGCGACGGUUGUCCCGGUUUAAGCGUGUAGGUGUGUGUUCCAGGAAAAUCCGGUUCACUUUAACACUGAGGCGUGACGACGAGGCACUACGGUGCUGAAGCAACAAAUGCCCUGCUUCCAGGAAAAGCCUCUAAGCCUCAGGUAACAUCAGAUCGUACCCGAAACCGACACAGGUGGUCAGGUAGAGAAUACCAAGGCGCUUGAGAGAACCCGGGUGAAGGAACUAGGCAAAAUGGUGCCGUAACUUCGGGAGAAGGCACGCUGACA
rnacentral:rRNA from 1 species